ACCCUCUCAGGAUCACACCUGGAGAGUUUCUGGUACUCUACCGGACCCAGCUACAGGAGGGAUAGUCAAGCAGAAGCAUUUCCAUUCCUAGUUUGGGCAGUGGCUAGCGAGUGGAAGGCAAUCUGCUACAAGU